rnacentral:rRNA from 1 species
CCUACGGGUGGCAGCAGUGAGGAAUAUUGGUCAAUGGCCGGAAGGCUGAACCAGCCAAGUCGCGUGAGGGACGACUGCCCUAUGGGUUGUAAACCUCUUUUAUAAGGGAAGAAUAAAUGCUACGUGUAGCAUGAUGCCUGUACCUUAUGACUAAGCAUCGGCUAACUCCGUGCCAGCAGCCGCGGUAAUACGGAGGAUGCGAGCGUUAUCCGGAUUUAUUGGGUUUAAAGGGUGCGCAGGCGGCGUGUCAAGUCAGCGGUAAAAUGUCGGGGCUCAACCCCGGCCGGCCGUUGAAACUGGCGUGAUCGAGUUGGAGAGAAGGAUGCGGAAUUCGUGGUGGAGCGGUGAAAUGCAUAGAUAUCACGAAGAACCCCGAUUGCGAAGGCAGCAUACCGGCUCCACACUGACGCUGAGGCACGAAAGCGUGGGUAUCGAACAGGAUUAGAUACCCUAGUAGUC